rnacentral:rRNA from 1 species
UAUUUAUUUUAUUAUAUUUAUUUUUUGUUUACUUAAUUACUUAAUAAAAAUAAUUUCGUUGAAUUUUGUCUUAGCAUAUUUUGUAGAAUUGAUUUUUUAGAUUAUAGUUUAUUGGUAAUGUAAUUGUUUUACGAAAUAUUAUUUUAAAUUUCUAAAAGUAGAUUUUAUUUAUUGUACCUUUUGUAUCAGGGUUUAUCAAAAUUUUAGUAUUUACUUUACUUGUCUCGAUUUGGGUUGAUUUAUAAACAAUUUAUAGUGAAUGUAUCAUACUCCUGAUUAAAUUAUUUAUAGAAAUGAGAUGUUAACCGGCCCCCAGGAUAUCUAGUUCCUUAAGAAAAAAUUUAAUUUUUUGAAGUUAAUUGUUUUUAUUUAAUUUUUUAAGUAUAAAUAUUAACUUAUUUAUUCUUUAAGGGAUAAGCUUUGAAGUUAAUAACCUAUAAUUUGUUUUAAAAAAAUAUAAAAGUAAGCUUUAAACCAGCUAUCUUUAAAAUUACGUUUUAGUUCAUUAUUUUUAUUUUUGAUUUUAAACCUAUUUUAGGUUUUUUAUUAAGAUUAUAAAUUUAAUUUUUAAAUUUUGGCAAUAAUGAUAGAAUUAGUAUAUUUAUUUGUAUAUAAUUUUUACCUUGUUAAUUUAUUAUAAGGAACUAGGC